UUUUUAGGCGGCUCGAAUGGGAGGGCUCGCGCCCUGCCGGUUUUCGCAAGAUGUCCCGGUACGCCAACCCGUUCGAGCUGCCGCCCCC
rnacentral:antisense_RNA from 1 species